rnacentral:sRNA from 1 species
ACAUAUCGGUUUUCAUUGUGUAUCAUCUUCCUGGAUAUCCUUUGUAAUAGUUUAAUCGUAGUAGAUAAACAAGCAAUGAGUAAGAAAAAAAAUGUAGUACGACGAUGAUGUGUUUUCUCAAGAUGAUAACGGAUCUAGCUUCGCCAUCAAUAAGUAUGAGGCAAAGGAGUCCAUCUUUGAUGAAACAUCCAUUUGCCUGUUGUACAUUUUUGCAGGACAACCAGCCUGAGCACAAGAGACAUGGUGUACUAGACUUUGUGCGGAAUGUCUACUUCAAAACUCGCAUCUUUAUAUCUGAUAUAUAGAGAUAUAGAGAUAUAGAGAGAGGCUGAUGAUUUAUAAACACAAACGAUAAGACUUGUAACAUGAAGUUUGUCGAAAAAGUCAAUCUUUAAAUCCCUUUCUGGAUUUCUUUCUAUGUUCGAGCUUUGGUACCAUGCUUUUAGUGCGGUCAUUUAAAGGCAUAGCGGAUGAUAGUUCUAAAGNUACUGUAUUGGAUCAAUUGGAAGAACAUCCAAAUAAAAAAAAGCAUGCCAAAAUGCUAGUAUUAUCAGUAACUGCAAUUAAAAAAAGGAUUACCAAAAAUUUUCNGGAUCCUCGAGAAAAAGUAAGAUACUGGUUNA